GGGGGUGCAAUGUAUCGACAGAAAUAUUUACCAAAAUAUGCAAGCUGAGCUCGCUAGAAGCUCAUAAAACUCCUAGCAAACAAAAUACACGCCAAUGUAUUUUCCAGGGCUAAAUCUAUUCUAACUGCUGCCUUUGGUGUCAGUAUGGAUAGCUUAGUGCCCGCUUACGCAACAGUGUAAGCCAUCCUCUUUGCUAACUCUCGAUAGGCAAAGCCGGGUGUUAUACAUCGAGAUAGGAAACUUGUUUCAGUCUUGACAGGUUUCUCGAAAAUUCAAAGACAAGAGAUACUAGAAUUUUAUCUGUUUUUAAUCUAAUAUCUUUAAAACUAAAACAGAGUAAGCUUGUAGAAGUAUCUUGGCAGAAUUUUUGGACAGGGGUUCGACCCCCUCGCCUCCAC
rnacentral:tmRNA from 1 species